UGGGGGAAGGGGGCCAUAGCUUAGCAGCAGAGCAUCUCCUUUGCAUGCAGAAGGUCCCAGGUUCAAUCCCCGGAAUCUCCCAG